rnacentral:rRNA from 1 species
UACGGGAGGCAGCAGUGAGGAAUAUUGGUCAAUGGGCGCAAGCCUGAACCAGCCAUGCCGCGUGCAGGAAGAAUGCCCUACGGGUUGUAAACUGCUUUUAUGUGAGGAUAAACCUAGAUUUGCGAAUCUAGCUGAAGGUAUCACAUGAAUAAGGAUCGGCUAACUCCGUGCCAGCAGCCGCGGUAAUACGGAGGAUUCGAGCGUUAUCCGGAUUUAUUGGGUUUAGAGGGUGCGUAGGCGGACUAUUAAGUCAGUGGUGAAAUACAUCAGCUCAACUGAUGCACUGCCAUUGAUACUGGUAGACUAGAAUAUAAAUGGUGCAGGCGGAAUGAAUCAUGUAGAGGUGACAUUCAUAGAUAUGAUUCAGAACACCGAUCGCGAAGGCAGCUUGCAAAGAUAGUAUUGACGCUGAGGCACGAAAGCGUGGGUAGCGAACAGGAUUAGAUACCCUGGUAGUCCACGCCGUAAACGAUGAUAACUCGUUGUCGGCGAUACACAGUCGGUGACUAAGCGAAAGCGAUAAGUUAUCCACCUGGGGAGUACGAUCGCAAGGUUGAAACUCAAAGGAAUUGACGGGGGCCCGCACAAGCGGAGGAGCAUGUGGUUUAAUUCGAUGAUACGCGAGGAACCUUACCUAGACUUGAACGUAUGAGUGAUCAUUUAGAAAUAGAUGAGCUAGUAAUAGACUCUUACGAGGUGCUGCAUGGUUGUCGUCAGCUCGUGCCGUGAGGUGUCGGGUUAAGUCCCAUAACGAGCGCAACCCUUAUUGUCAGUUGCUAACAGGUAAAGCUGAGGACUCUGGCGAGACUGCCMCCGUAAGGUGUGAGGAAGGUGGGGAUGACGUCAAAUCAGCACGGCCCUUAUGUCCAGGGCUACACACGUGUUACAAUGGCCGAUACAAAGGGCAGCUACCGGGCGACCGGAUGCUAAUCUCUAAAGUCGGUCUCAGUUCGGAUCGGAGUCUGCAACCCGACUCCGUGAAG